GAGUAAUUGCUGGGAAUGUUAAGAUGGCGGUGACUUACUUAUAUUUCGAUAUUCAACAUGUGUUAAAUUUGUAUUUUUCUUUGGAAUAUUACCUCUAAAAGUGUGUGAAUGAUUGGAAAUUACAAAACAAGUGUUGUGUGAGGGAGUGAUGCCGUUUUCUUCUCGGCUGUUCAUGUUUCAUUGGAAUGCAAUCGAGUUUUGCCAGCUCGCAAGAGGAUUUUUUAUUCAGUCUAUCGUUGAGGGCUACUCUGGCCACCGAUUCAGCGGCCUCGUCAUCAAGGUAAUGCCAAAACGGGAAGAAAGUGUAUUUUUAAACGAAGGAGUAUCAAAUUCUUUUGGAUAAAUGUAGUCAUUAAGCGAGAAAAAAAUAUUAAUAACCUUUCAUGCUUUUCCUAAAUUUCUUGAAACUGUGCUCUUUUUCUGAACUAUGAUAUUAAGUCAUGAGGAUGGGAAUACGUCAUACGUUAAGAACAUUCACAAACCGACCGUCUGGCCAGCCGCUGGGUGCAUUUACUCUCGCUGUGUGGCUCUAAUUGUAAUCAUCAUGCUAUUUACUAAAGCGUGUUUGGGGUCCGGAUUCGCGGACCUCUCCAAUGUCUGUGGACCCCUGUUUUACCCCGUCAAAUUCAAGAACCAGUGCCUUUAUCUUGAUGACCGACUGACACGCAAUAUCUGUGACACCCCUCGGACGUUCCUGGGUCUUCCCAAUAAUCCGAUUCACUUAAAGUUUUGCAAUAAGUACACCCUCAACCACAUAUUACCUCAAGACAGCCCGUGGGACGGGAGGCGGGUGGGUGGUGGAUGUAAUGAGACGAUGGUAGAGCUGGUGAACAGUGACAACCGAGCUCGUGAGGAGUUUGAACUGUUUGUUAGUUUACUGGAGAGAGUCGACUGUGAUAGUGUAUACCCCCCUGUGGUGAUUUCUGCUCAGGAGUAGAACACAAGUGUCCAUUUCUUCGACCCCUGACGGAGACAACCUAUGCAGGGGAACCUAGUUUUAUAUGCAAAGAUCCAUCAUCGGAUAUGGUGCCAAGUCUUUCGGAGCAAUGCUACAAACAGUGCUACUUAACGGACGACAAAAAUGCAAAAUGUCUUCGUCAAUUUCCGUCACGUCACAACGUCAGUGCUGCCCUCUACACAAAUACCACGGAACGUAACUCCUGCUGUUCUCUGACUACAAACGCAUUGACAAGAAUGUGUGUGUAUCUAAUUGGAUUUGUUUUCGUUAGGACUGUGUUACUAUUUUAUUCUAUAGGGUUAACUUAAUGGUAAAAUUGUGUUGACGUGUUGUAGUGAAUAAUCAGGAACGAAUGCGCGUGCGUGUCUGUCUGUGUGUCAGUCUGUGGGUAAAUAUGGCGGACAUAGUUUUGUUCGUAUUGGUCAUUUUUACUUUUUUGGUUUUUUAUAUACGAGAGCAAUAUGAUGAUUUAUUAAGUUUUGAACUGGACAACGUGAUUUUGUUUUGUUGUAGUUUGACUAUUCUUCCGUACAUGAACAUCGGUAUUUAUCGUUAUGUUUCGUUCAUGCUGUUUUGGGCUAUACAGCCAUAUGUGCAGCAGCUGGUCCCCAAUAAUACACAGUAAUAAGCCCGAGAACUCACUGAUCAAGUUCAUGUCGGCCAUAGGUUUCUUUUUCAGUUGCUUUCUAAUAUCUUAUGCGUAUUAUCAACUAAUUUGGUCAUUCAUUGAAGUUAUUUAUGCAUUUAUUUACUUAUUUAUUUAUUGAUUGAUUGAUUUUAUUGCACUGAUUGAUUAAUCUACCCGAUCAUUGAUUGAUAUAUUUAUGAAUUCAUUGAUUGGUUUAUCUAUGUUUUGAUUCGUUCAUUGAUCUAUCCAUAGACUGUUUGAUUGAUUUAUUUAUUCAUUCUUUACGUUGGGCUCCUAACUGAUUUAUCGAUGAAUCUGAUUUGGACUUAGAUCGUUAUCAACUAUUGAUUUGACAUAUUUCUACUUGUUAUUCGGUAGAAUUGUAUUGUUUGACAUAAUAAAGAGAUGGAUUUUAUUCUC
rnacentral:misc_RNA from 1 species